GCUUAAAGUGGUCAAAAA
rnacentral:snRNA from 1 species